ACGCACGCUGGCGGCGUGCUUAACACAUGCAAGUCGAACGGAAAGGCCCUGCUUUUGUGGGGUGCUCGAGUGGCGAACGGGUGAGUAACACGUGAGUAACCUGCCCUUGACUUUGGGAUAACUUCAGGAAACUGGGGCUAAUACCGGAUAGGAGCUCCUGCUGCAUGGUGGGGGUUGGAAAGUUUCGGCGGUUGGGGAUGGACUCGCGGCUUAUCAGCUUGUUGGUGGGGUAGUGGCUUACCAAGGCUUUGACGGGUAGCCGGCCUGAGAGGGUGACCGGCCACAUUGGGACUGAGAUACGGCCCAGACUCCUACGGGAGGCAGCAGUGGGGAAUAUUGCACAAUGGGCGGAAGCCUGAUGCAGCAACGCCGCGUGCGGGAUGACGGCCUUCGGGUUGUAAACCGCUUUCGCCUGUGACGAAGCGCGAGUGACGGUAAUGGGUAAAGAAGCACCGGCUAACUACGUG
rnacentral:rRNA from 1 species